rnacentral:rRNA from 1 species
AGCGAACGCUGGCGGCAGGCUUAACACAUGCAAGUCGAGCGGGAAUCCAUGAGGUGUCUGCGGCAGAGGGGUGCGUGACGCGUGGGAACGUGCCCUACGUUGCGGAAUACCUCAGGGAAAGUUGAGCUAAUACGGGAUACGUGCGAGUGCAGCAAGGUUCAUCUGCCUAAGAGUCGGCCCGCGUCUGAUUAGCUAGUGGGUGAGGUGAUGGCUCACCAAGGCUGCGAUCAGUAGCUGGACUGGGAGGAUGGUCAGCCACCCUGGGACUGGGACACGGCCCGGACUCUGGCGGAAGGCAGCAGGGGUGAACCUUCGACACUGGGUGCAACCCGGAUCCAGCCGGGCCGCGUGAGUGAUGUCUGCCUUAGGGUUGUAAAGCUCUUUUCUCCGGGACGAUAUGGCCGUAACCGGAGGAUUAGGCCCCGGCUACCUCCGU